rnacentral:lncRNA from 1 species
UACUACUACUCAGAAUUAAUGAGUACCACCAUUCAUAUGCUAUAAUUUAACAACAUAUAAUUACAAUCUAUGUACACUAUAAUAUAAACAAAAUAUAAUUAUAAUAUAUGUACUACUACUCAGAAUUAUGAGUACCACCAUUCAUAUGCUAUAACUUAACUUUUUAUUUACAUAUUCUUGGACAGAUACAAAACCAAAAUCAGCACUAAUAGACUUUUAAUAUCUCACAAUCUAUUGGCCAUAUUAAUCAAUAUAUUACUACAUGCAAUAUUUAAAAGAUCCAUAACAAACUAAUAUUAUUCAUUAGACUAUUACCAAAUAUUUUAAUAAGCCAUGAAUUAAUUGAAAAGUUAAACUUUUUAAUACUUAAUCAACCAAAUAUCCUAAUAAAAAACGCAGAGAUUAGACCACACAAGCAUGUGCUUAGCUACUUUUUCCAACUUCCUUAUGAACAAACACAACAACAUGAUAGUCAACAAAAUCCACAUGAUGAAAUUGAAACAUAACCGGCAUAAUCGAUAUACACCAUCAUAGAUACGCUACAACUCCAUGAAAUUCAUUAGAACAACGAGUAUAGAAAGAGAUAAGACAGGAAAAACCAACCAAAUGCGGCAAAUGGCGGUGACGCAAGAAUACCAUGACGAGAGAGGCUUCAUGGUGGAGGUAGAUGUAAUAUUCCACCGGCGAUGGGCGUCAUGUGUUUGAUGACGUGAAUGGUGUAACUCGGGGUUGGUCGGUCGGAAAAAGGAUCGUGCGGUGGUUGAAGGUGGAUCGCGGCGGAAGAUUCUUCGGCGACAGUUGGGUUUGUAGAUCUGAAGUAAUAAAAGGGAGUGACGUUUUGGACGUUGCCGAAGAGGUUGUAUGAAGGAAACAGACUGUGAUUCCAUGAUGAGGAGAGUUUUGGGGUGGUGAUGGUGUUUCCAACGGAAGAAUCGUUUUCCGGUGGAACUUAAAAAAGAAGAAGGAGUGGUGUGUUGUCCGACAUUGGGAUUUCACGGUGAAACAGAGGUAAGUGGUGGUUGGAAAUGGAGGUCGGCACAGUGAGGUGUGGUGGAGGCGAAGAAGGCGGAAGGGGAAAAAUCCACUGUGAGAGCAAUCCCCCCUUUUUAUUUUCCUUUUUCUUUUUUAUGCUGAGCGAGAUAUUGGACAGUAGUGUCCGUUGGUUUUCAUCACAGUGGACCCUCUUCCAAAUUGUUGAUGUUGGUUGGAGAUAUAGUGGUCUUUUUCUCAAGUGACUUUUUUUGGAAAGAAGAAAAAACUCCUUCUUUAUUAUUUUUUUUCUUUUUUACUGUUGAAGAGAGGAAGCGUGUGAGAAAGAGGAAGCGUGAGGGAAAGUGAUGAGAGAGACAUGAGCUGUCAAAAAAUCUUUUCCAGAUUUUUAAUGCUGGUUAUUUAAAAAGGGGAUCCAAUGUUAAAAAUAUAUUUUAUUUAUUAACUAUUAUACUAUUACCUAUUAUUAAAGAAAAAUAUCUAUUAAAAAUUCCUAAAUAAUAAUUUUAUUUAAGUAAUAAUAAUAAUAAAAUAAUCUCUAAUUUAGAUACUAGAACAAAGAAAUAAAAGGACCGAAUAUAAAUAGAAGUCGGACAAAAAUUUGCUCGAAAAAUUAAAUCAGACACAUUAAAAUGAUCAGCACAAAAUAUACUUAUUGAAAAAAUACAGCAUUUCUUCAAAUUCUGAAAUAAAUUUUCACCGGUUAAAAGGCUCAGGCGGGUCAAAAUGCAACCGAAACAGUCGCUGAAAAAUAUAACGAGCACACCAGGUUAAACUACGUGAACCGUAGGUUAAUAAUAGUGGUGUCUGUAAUUUUAAUUUUGAAACUUUUUAUCAGCUGAUUUUAUCCGCACUUGAGAAAAUGGUUCAAACGAUUUGUCUGUAUUUUCAAUAAAUUUAUUCUAACUGAUACUUUAGUUAUUAUUCAUGAUGGAAUGCAUGUCGUGUUAUGCAUAUGAUGCAACUUAAAAAUGAAGUUGAUCUUACAAAAAUUUAAAUAUUCCCGGACAAAAUUGGGGUAUGACAGUUGCCCCUAUUUCAUUAUCUUGAACUAGAAGGUAAGAAUGACAACAGUCUUCAUGCAUUCAUAGUGGAAGGUAAUUAAAUAAAAAAAACCCGAAUUUUGUCCUUUGAAUUGCAAAGAAAAAAAUGCAGAAAGAAAAUGCAGUGAGAAAUACAGUAAGAAAAGUUAUUAGAAGGUAAAAUGAAACAGUCAAAACUCUCUGAGAAUCGUCAGAACAGUAUCUUGGAUGUCACAAUCGAGAUUUUCCAAAAAUGGGAUGAUACCUCAACUGUACCUAAGACUUUCUGAGGAUAUUAGAACAUCGUCUUAAUUUGAACGCAUGAGACUCUCUAGGUAUUAAUGAAGUAGUAUCCCAUAUGAUAUAAUCGAGAUAUUCCGACAAGGGAAUGAUACCUCAAUCGUAUCUAAGACUCUUCAAGGAUACUAAAGCAGUAUCUCUAAAAAUGAAUGAGACUCUUCAUAUUGAUGAAGCAAUAAGACUCUUCAAGGAUACUAAAGCAGUAUCUCUAAAAAUGAAUGAGACUCUUCAUAUUGAUGAAGCAACAUCUCGAACAGCAAAAUGAGAUUCUCUGUAUCGAAUCGAAACAACAUCUUAUAUGAUCGAAUUAAGAUAUUCCGAACAAGGGAAUGAUACCUUAAUUGAAUCCAAGACUCUUCAAGGAUACUAGAGCAGUAUCUCAAAAAAAUCUGAAAGGAGACUCUUCAUAUUGAUGAAGCAGCAUCUCAAACAGUAAAUGUGAGAUUCUUUGUAUCGGGUCGAAGCAACAUCUUAUAUGAUAAAAUUAAGGUGUUCCAGCAAGGGAAAAAAUCCCUUAAUUGAAUCUAAGACUCUCUGAGGAGAUUAGAGCAGUAUCUCUAAAAAACUCUGAAAUGAGACUCUUCAUAUUGAUGAAGCAGCAUCUCAAAUAGUAAAAGUGAGAUUCUCUGUAUCGGGUUGAAGCAACAUCUUAUAUGAUAGAAUUAAGAUGUUCCAGCAAGGGAAAAAUACCUUAAUUGAAUCUAAGACUCUCCGAGGAUAUUAGAGCAGUAUCUCUAAAAAAAUCUGAAAUGAGACUCUUCAUAUAAAAUACCUUAAUUGAAUCUAAGACUCUCCGAGGAUAUUAGAGCAGUAUCUCUAAAAAAAUCUGAAAUGAGACUCUUCAUAUUGAUGAAGCAGCAUCUCAAACAGUAAAAGUGAGAUUCUCUGUAUCGAGUCGAAGCAGCAUCUUAUAUGAUAGAAUAUAAUGUUCCAGCAAGGGAAAAAAUACCUUAAUUAAAUCUAAGACUCUCCGAGGAUAUUAGAGCAGUAUCUCUAAAAAACCCCUGAAAUGAGACUCUUCAUAUUGAUGAAGCAGCAUCUCAAACAGUAAAAGUAAGAUUCUCUGUAUCGAGUCGAAGCAACAUCUUAUAUGAUAGAAUUAAGAUGUUCCAGCAAGGGAAAAAAUACCUUAAUUGAAUCUAAGACUCUCCGAGGAUAUUAGAGCAGUAUCUCUAAAAAAAACCUGAAAUGAGACUCUUCAUAUUGAUGAAGCAGCAUCUCAAAUAGUAAAAGUGAGAUUCUCUGUAUCGGGUCGAAGCAGCAUCUUAUAUUAUAGAAUUAAGAUGUUCCAGCAAGGGAAAAAAUACCUUAAUUGAAUUUAAGACUCUCCGAGGAUAUUAGAGCAGUAUCUCUAAAAAAACCCUGAAAUGAGACUCUUCAUAUUGAUGAAGCAACAUCUCAAACAGUAAAAGUGAGAUUCUCUAUAUCGGAUCGAAGCAGCAUCUUAUAUGAUAGAAUUAAGGUAUUCCAGCAAGGGAAAAAUACCUUAAUUGAAUCUAAGACUCUCCGAGGAUAUUAGAGCAGUAUCUCUAACAGAGAAAUGAGAUUCUUCAGAUAAAUGAAGCAGUAUCUCAAACAGAUGAAUGAGAUUCUUUAGAUAAAUGAAGCAGUAUCUCAAAUAUUCGUUUGUUGGGGGAAAUUUUUAAGAAAAGGCUCCGUUUGAGGGAGAUUUGCUGAAAAAGCUCUGCAGGGGAGAAGCUCAUAAGAGACUUUUAUGGGUAACCUCUGCUUGGGGAGCAAUGAUUGCAAAGAAAAUGCUGGGAAUGUCAUUAUUAAUCAUAAAGUUGAAAAAUGGCUUUCUGGAAAAUGAUUCCACGAGCACAUACAUGGUAGUAAUUUUAUUUGGAAAUGAGAAAUGUCCAAGAUAUACAUGAAUGACCUUGGAUCCUGAUAUUUUAUGUUUGAUUCUCGUAUGAUGUUCCACUUUAGGUGGGAAUACCAUGCAUGGGAUGAUGCAUGAGAUGAAUGAGAAAUGUCCAAGAUAUACAUGAAUGACCUUGGAUCCUGAUAUUUUAUGUUUGAUUCUCGUAUGAUGUUCCACUUUAGGUGGGAAUACCAUGCAUGGGAUGAUGCAUGAGAUGCAUGUAAGUAUGCAAUUGCUGGGGAUAUUUGGCUGUGUAUGAGAAUGCAAAUGAUUUUUUUUAUUUUGUAUAAGGUUAUACAUAAGUAUGCCGAUGAUUUAUAUGACUGUGUUUUUUUUUGAAUUUUUUGUUUGGUAGGAAAACCAUGUAUGGAUGAUUCGUGUGAUGCAUGUGGGAAUGCAACUGGGUAAUUGGAUAUUUUUUGUAGGAUUUUAUUUUUCAAUGAGAUUAUUGGGGAAUAUCAUCAUCAAAGGGUUGAUGGAAGAUAGUGAACAUCAAAAUCAAAGGGUCGAUGGACAGGUAAAUAUCGUCGUCAAAGGGUUGACGGAAAAGAUUGUCAUCAUCAGAGGGCUGAUGGAAAAGACUAUGUCAUCGUCAAAGGGUUGACAGAAAGAAGUAAAGGAUGCCAUCACCAAAGGGUUAGUGGGAAGGAUCAUCAUCAGAGGGCUGAUGGAAAGGUAAAUGUCAUCGUCAAAGGGUUGACGGAAAGGUAACUGUCAUCGUCAAAGGGUUGACGGAAAGGAAUUUCAUUAUGGAGUGACAUCGUCAAAGGGUUGACGGAAAGGUAAUUUGUCAUCGUCAAAGGGUUGACGGAAAAUAUUGUCAUCAUCAGAGGGUUGACGAAAAAGAAUUCGUCAUCAUCAAAGGGUUGACGGGAAGAACUAUGGAAUGUCAUCACAAAAGGGUUGGUGGAAAAUAAUUUGUAUAUGUAAUAUCAUCGUCAAAGGGUUGACGAAAAACAUUUGUUGUAAAAUAUCGUCAUGAGAGGGCUGAUGGGAAAGAAUUUGUCAUCGUCAAAGGAUUGAUGGAAAGGAGUAAAGAAAGACAUCACCAAAGGGUUGAUGGAAAAGAGAAUUUUGUAAAGUAUCAUCACCAGAGGGCUGAUGGGAAAGAAUUUGUCAUCGUCAAAGGAUUGAUGGAAAGGAGUAAAGAAAGACAUCACCAAAGGGUUGGUGGAAAAGAGAAUUUUGUAAAGUAUCAUCACCAGAGGGCUGAUGGAAAAGAGUUUGUCAUUGUCAAAGGGUUGACGGAAAGAAAAAGUCAGGUUAUGUCCUCAUCAAAGGGUUGACGGGAAGGAUUUAUUAUGUUAUGUAUGCAUAUGAUGCGUGUUAAUGAGAAUUUCUCAUUUUUGUGAGGGAGCUUUUUGAUAUGCAACUUCCUUAUUUGGAAGGAAAGUCAUGUAUGUUUAUUGUAUGAAGUGCAUGUGGUAAUGUAAGAUGAGUAUUGAUUGUCUUUGGAUUGAUCUCCUUUUUUGAAGCUGAGAUUUUUUGGGUACCAAUGUUGAUUGGACUUGAGUUUAUGAAGAUGCCAGCAAAGUGGACUUUUUAUUUUUGAUAGUUGCCAAUAUGGAUUGGACUUUUGGUUUAGGAUAUGCUAAUAAGGAUUGGACUUUGGUUUGAGAGAGAUGCCAAUAGGGAUUGGAUUUUGAAUUUAUGAAGAUGCCAACAGUGUGGACUUUUAUUUUGGUAGUUGCCAAUAUGGAUUGGACUUUUGGUUGGUGAAAGGUUUUGACUUCCUGACACUCUAUAUUUGACAAUACGAUGAUUUGAGGAUAAAUACGGAUGCUCUUGGUGCCCCAAGUUUGAUCAUUUGCUUAUAAAUUGUGUGCUUCUCCUUGAGAGAAUCUCAACCUCUUUGCUUGAUAUGUCUUGAUGGCUUGUAAAUAAUUUUGUGAGCGUAGCGACGUAAGCAAUGCAUGAUGAUUGUGCUCUCGCUCUGCCCCAAGGAUAUUUGCAACUUCUAUGCCAUAAUCUGUAGGGUCUUUGAAGGAAUUUGUCCUUUUGAAAGGAAACCAUGGGAAUGAAUAUACCAUGGCUUGACCAAUUUUUUUCCAGUGUAUGGGUCUUGCAGUAGUUUUCCCCUGAUUGAGAUUUUGGAAGGCUUGCCCCAGAUUGAUUGAGUAUGUUGUAACAAUUUGCCUCCUUGAGCAACUAAUGCUUGAAGGUUUGUCUUUUGACUGACCAAUUCAUGGUUGUUGGAUGUAAUGCCUCUAAUCCAUAGGGUUGAGAGGUGUUCUUGCUUUGGGUCAUUACUGACGAAUGAUCAAGUCCUUCUCUGAUUUCUUCUUGUUGGAAUCUUCUUGAUGUUAAGUACCGACUUGCAAUUAAAAUUGUUUAUUUAAUCAAUGGUAAUUUUAAUGCGAUAUUUAUGCAGGUUUGAAAAAUCAUUUAUUGAGGUGAUGUGAUAGUAUGAGACGAAUGAACCAUUAGUUCGAACACAUUGUUGAUUUAGCUAGUGUGUGAAAGAUACAACGAGAAUAUGAUGCUAAUACAGGUGAUUAGAAAAUAUUUAUGAGUCAGUUUACGUAACCUUGUUUUAGUAUGCUUUCAGAAUAAACCCUACUUCAAUUAGGUAUUUUAAGGAUUGUAACGUGGCUUGGUUCAUGGUUAUUGAAACAAAGGAUGUAAGGCUCAAAUUUUGUUUUAACCCACCCAUUCUUCACGAUGAUCUCCAAUCUUACACUCAGUUAAUUCAACAUACACAUUCAUUUUUUUUGGAGGUGUAAGGAUUAAGAUGGUGAUUCAUGGUCUCUUGAAAUGGCAACCACCUUUUUUCAUUUUUUGGAUGUCUAUGACCCUUUGGUUUUGGUAUGGUGGUCACUAAAUCUUAUUUUAUUUAGUUAAGGGUUUUCAUUGCUUUUUUUUUUUACUUUUGUUUUGAUCCCUAACUUUUUCCUGGACCAUUUCUUGAAGCUUUUAGUCGAUUGGGAUUGCCCCUGUUUUUUGCCUGAGUCACCCUUUUGAGGUAUUCGACUUAGCGGGCUCUUUCUUUGAUUAUUUUCUUAGAGAAUUGUGACUGCCAAGCCAUUGGUCAUUGAAGAACAACCGAUACAACUUUUGGAUUUUUCAAGGUUCCUUUGACACUUCAGGUUGUGUGUGAAAAAUGGUAUGUAGUCGAUCCACAUGCGGGAUGCUUCAUCUUGUAAUUCGAAUGCAUAGUCAAAUUAACUAAAUACUACCCUGCCCCAGGUUAAAUAUAAGGGUUUGUAGAUCCUAAAGAAACUCCUACUUCUAAGCUCGAAGUGGUUGACUAGGGAUUAACUCCUUAUCUCUCCAGUGUUUGGGGAUUUGAAACAAUGCCUGUAUAUCAUCAGCAGGAUUUUAUCCACAAGCAUACUAUUAGAAAUUAUGAGUAUUUUGUUUUCGUCAUCCUCCCUUCAAUUUUUGCUAAAACGACAAUUUUGAUGAGUGAAUGGGAGAAAUAUAUAAUAUAUAUAUAUAUAUAUAUAUAUAUAUUUUGUAGAUGGAAAAGAUGAGUGAAUACGAAAGGAUUUGUUCAAAACAUGCAUGAUCAUUUCAUUAAUAUUACCAUUAAAGGAAAUCAACAAUAUUUGAAAGUAUAUAAAUACUUUAACAUGCAAAGAACAAAACAAAUGAAAUGCUAGAAAUAGCCAAAUGAUUUCCAGUGCAGAGGAAGCUUUCUCGUGUCUGGUUCAAUGCUGGGCUAGUUUCCUUCAGAGUAGUGGUAGUUCUGCUCAUCGAGACUAGCAUGAUAAUCAUCUUCAGACCUACUCUCAGAAAUCUCUUCCAUUGUUUGGACUGAUGGACCCGCAUAGCUAGGCGAAGAAGUAUUGUUGACUUGCAAGCUUCGAGGAGCAAAGGAGAACAUCUUGGAAUCAAGCAUGGUUUGUACCUUACUCUUGAACAAUUUGCAGUCUUCUGUUGAAUGCCCUUGUGCCCCAGCAUGGAAGUCACAUCUAGCAUUGGCGUUAAAGCCCGGUGGAUAUGGAGGACUUACUAGUUUUAACUCCUUUGGCACUAUCAGUCCUUUCUCAAUUAAAUACGAAAGUACUUGAUUAUAUAGCAUUGGAAGCAGAUCAAUGUGUCUCUCUGGCUUUCUUAGCCUUGGUUGAGCAUGUUGACGCUGUCAAUGUGGAAAAUCCUGUCGUUUGUAUGGCUGCUGAGCUGGAAUCUGUCGUUGAUACUGAGGAGAUCCCUGAUUUGUAGGAUACUGACCAUGUGGAGAGAAUGGUGUCUAGUGUGAAGCUUGUGGGAUUUCCCAAACUGCAUUAAUUUCAUCCUCUUCUUCCUUUUGGGAACUAGGAAUAGAUUCACUAUCAACGCUCUGGCUAUUUAAGGUGCAUUGGAUUCUUCCAUUUUUAAGGCCAUGCUCGAUGCGUUCUCCAAUUGACACCAAAUGAGCGAAGUCUGAUGCUGUACUGCUAAUCAUCCUUUCGAAGUAAGGGCUUUGUAAGGCAUCCCUAAAUAAUUCCAUCAAUUCUUUGUCUAAGAGUGGUGGUUCAACACGAGCCGCUAACUCUCUCCAUCUUUGGGCAUACCCUAUGAAGGAUUCGUUACUUUCCUUAGAUAAGGCUUUCAACUGCAUGCGAUCGGGAGCCAUGUCCAAAUUAUAUUUGUAUUGCUUAAAGAAGGCGUUAGCUAGGUCCAGCCAUGAUUGAAUACGACUCCUUUCUAACUCCAUGUACAAACUCAAUGAUGCCCCAGUCAAACUAUCCUGAAAACAGUGAAUCAUUAGCUUAUCAUCAUGGGCAUGAGAGGUCAUUUUUCGGCAAAACAUCACCAAAUGGUGCUUUGGACAGUUAUCCCCUUUGCACUUCUCAAAUUCUGGUACUUUGAAUUUUGGGGGUAUAACCAGGUCAGAUACCAAACACAUGUCUAAGGCAUUCAGUCCAACAGUAUCUUGUCCUUCUAUGGCCUUGAGUCUUUUCUCUAGCACGCAACAUCUUUUAGCAAUCUCAUUAUCUUGUGGUUGUUCAGUAUUAACCCCCUGGCCUGUUCCAUGUGAAUCUGGCACAGAGAAUGCAAAACUGUGAUACUCAACAACAUCGUGAUGUGAGGAAUCUUGAAAAAUACGACGUUCUUGUACAAUAGAGUUAUCAACUGGGGUUCGCACAAGCUGAGGUUGGGUAGGACCAUUUACUGAAGCUAACACAACAUUCUCAACCACUGCAGUCUGCUGAAUGUUGUCUUCCUUCUUUGCUAAAACUAUCAUAGCUUCCACAAGCUGGUCUAGCUGAUUUUUCAUUGAGUCAACAUCUCCUCUUAAUGCAAUGUGACUUUGCUCCAAUGGAUCCAUGGUCUUCCAAGAGCUACUUCAAGUCUGAUAUGAGUGUCGAGAAAUCAACUGCAGGUUAUGGACGAAGGGUGGAUGAGUUUUUUGUAUAUAUUUUUGUGUGAAAGGUGAUAUGCAAUGCAUGACGAUUGCAGAUGCAAUGAUAUGUGUAUGAGUGUAGUGACAUGUUCAGGAUCACAGGUUCAAAGUGUUUUCAGAUAGAUCAAAAUAAUGGGUAAAUGAUAGGUGUCUCUGAUUAAUGGAACCCCAUGGUUAGGUUCUAUAGUUGGUAGGUUCCCAGAGUCAUGGAUAUUUCUUGAGGACGUCACUGCCAUGACAAAGACUCGUUGGACAAUAAUAUCCUUAAGAAGAUCUCGUCUAGGUGAGGUCUUUGUAUUAUCCCAACAAGGAAAACUCCAUGGGGACUCUACUACACGACUCUCGAGUCCAGGGUUCUAACAAGGUUCUCAGAGUCAUAGAUCGAAGUUGAGAAUACUAAUGUAAGGUAGUAAUACGCCCAAGGGAUCUCAUCUGAUUGGUGCUUUCGUAUUAACCCAAUAAGUCUAGGACUUUUCGGGUAAAUACUACAUAACCACCGAAUAUAAUGGGUUAAAAGGUCCCUAUAGUCAUUGAUCCAACUUGAGAAUACUAUCAUCGUGAGGAAAACUCGUCGGGCAAUAACAUCUCAAGAGAAUCUCCUCUAGGCAGGGUCUUCGUAUCUUCCUAACAAGGAAGACUCCUUGUGGACGUCCACUACGCAACCACCAACUUAAUCUUAUGGUUUUUCUCAGACUCGGGUGGAGAGCCUAUCUCACAAAGUAGCACCAACCAGAGAGCCCCAAAUAAGACAUAGUCAAUAAAUCACAAUACAAUAAUUAUGACAGAAUAAUAAUAACAGAAUAAAAAUAACAAACAAACAAAUAAGAUUAACACACAAUACAGAAACUGAACUAAAUUUGGCUUCACUCUCUUUUGCUUGGAGCUAGUCCCCAGCAGAGUCGCCAUCUAUCGCAUCUCGAAAAAUACGAUUCCUCGCGAUGGUCGCGGAAAAAAUUACGUUCGACCAGAUUCGCCACCGAACUUUAUUUAUCCUAAUGAAGGGAUAGGAAAAUAUCGAUAAAACCUUUAGGAGAUGGAAUAAUGGUCGUCGCAACCAUAUUCGGGUUCGGGAGUGGAUUACGCGAGAAGAAGGUAUUAACACCCCUUACAUCCGCUGUACUCAGCGGGAACCUUUUAGUUCUAAUUUGCGUUUCGAGUGUUAAUUUAUGUUUGUUUGUUAUCUUUGGGUCAUAAAUAUAUUGAAAAUAGAAAUGGAUGGGAACCUUAGAAAGGAGAAAGGGGAGGUUCUUUAUUAGUGUGCUCGCCAAGAUCUCGCAAUCUCGUGCCUACGUAUCCUUAUGGUGCAAUAAGGAAGUCAGAGCAUUCGUAGUUCAGGGAAUUACGGUUGGUUAGUGUCUUUUAGUGAACAACUGUUUAGAUCGCAUUCCAAAGGCUAAACGUUAGCUUGUCUACUCUCGGUGGAGGCUUAAGCACUAGUUUGUUAUGCGCAUUAGAAAGGAUUAAAUGGUGUUCUUUCUGAAAAUAGUUUCGGUCACACAAGGGUGACAAAUUGGAUUAAUAUGUUUGACGUUUUUUUUUGGUUGAGAUGUUUUUUGUUGGAUGACGAUUACUCGGAUAGUUGAGUAAGACAACUCGUAUCCUAACAGUCAGGAAAGGGAAUAGAAGACUCUAGCCCACUUUCUUAUUCAUCCUCAAUUAUAGAAAGGAUUUGAUAAUAAUUAAGGUAUUUUAAAUGGAUGACGAAUACUCGGAUAAUCGAGUAAGACAACUCGUAUCCUAAUAAUCAGGAAAAGGAAUAGAAGACUCUAGACCGCUUUUUGUUUCAUCUGAGUAUUUAUGAAAAUAAGGUUGUACAUGGUUGACGUAUUUUAGAAUGAACGACAAGUACUUGAAUGACUAAGUAAAACAACUCAUAUCCAAGCAUUUGAGAAGAGGAAUUGAAAGCUCAAAACCAUCUCCUUUUUCGUAUAGUUUGUUAAGAAAAUGAUUUGAUUAAGUUGUAUGUUUGUGGAAAAAUGACAAUUGCUCGACUGACCGGGUAAGAGAACUCAUAUUCAAACAAUUGAGGAGAGAAGUUGAAAACUCAAAGUCACAUCCCUUUCCAUUUAGCUUAUUAUGAAAGUAAUUUGGUUUAAUCAGGGUUUAGAAGUUUGUAAAGAAAUGACGAGUGUUUAACUGACCGAGCAAGAAAACUCGUAUUCAAACAAUCGAGGGGAGGAGUUAAAGGCUUAAAACCAUCCCCCAUUUCAUUUUUAUUCAUUGUAAGAACGUUUGAUUUAAUUUAUGCUUAAGUGGAUUAAAAAUAUCGAUUACUCGACUAACCGAGUAAGAGAACUCAUAUUCAAAUAAUCGAGGAGAGGAGUUGAAAACUCAAAACCAUCCCCUUUCUCAUUUCCAAAUGAAAUGGUGUUUGAUUGUGAUUGGGUAUUUCAAUUGAGUUUGAAAGAAAAUACUCGACAUUGGAUCGAGGUUUUAAAUUUGUGUUCGUGAAUAAAUUAAAUUUUAUUUAGUGAAUCAAUCAUCUACUCAAUUAAAAUCGAAUAGGUCUCAUUGUAAGAAAGCCCAAGAGUAAGCUAUGUGAGGUUGAUGGCGAUGCUAAAAGCGAUCGACUUACACAAAUAUGAAAAAUGGGCUCGAUAUUGAAUCGAUGAUUGUGCUAUUUAUUUGUGUUUUGGAAUUGAGUUUGUAUUAUGAAAUGAUAUUGGAAGGAAUCAAUCAAUAUUUAACUAAUAAAAUUAAUUGAUUAAAACUCGAUUAAAUUGAUUAAUUAAGUUAAUUAAAAUUAAUUAUCAAAAUUAUUUAAUUAAAUCAAAUAAUCAGGUUAAUUAAAAUUAAUUAACUAAUUAAACAAAAUUUAAUUAAUUAAUUAAUUUGAAUAGAAUGAAAAUGGAAUAAUGUCAAUUUAAAUUGAUAAUGUGCUCAAAAAACCGGUUUACACAUAUCGACAACGGAAUUGGAGUGUCGUAUGUGAAUCGAAACGCGGUGAAGUGUUUUAUUAAUUUAUUGAAACUUGGCGGCAUGUCGACAUAGAUUUGUCGAAUCCACGGAUAAAAGUCUCAGUGUAACGCAAUAUAAUGGAAACAAAUCUUACUUACAAGAUUCAUGAUAAAUUGCCGAAAACCAACGAUGCCAUUAUAUAGUCGGGUCAAAAAUCUAUGUACACCAUACUUUUUCAACAAAUAACUAAUGAUAUAAUUAAAAAAAAAUUAGCAAUCAAUUGUUAAUUAUAAUUAAAUAUUAUACUUAUUUAACUCAGAAUUGUGAUUACUACUAUUCAUAUGCUAUAAUAUAACCAAAAUAUAAUUAAAAGCUAUGCACACUGUAAUAUAAACAAUAUAUAAUUACAUAUAUUAUAUAUUUAUAUAUAUAUAUAUAUAUAUAUAUAUAUAUAUACUACUCUGAAUUAUGAACUACCACCGUUCAUAUGCUAUAAUUUAACCAACAUAUAAUUAUAAUCUAUGUACACUGUAAUAUAAACAAAAUAAAUUAUAAUAUAUGUACUACUACUCAGAAUUAUGAGUACCACCAUUCAUAUGCUAUAACUUAACCAACAUAUAAUUUACAAUCUAUGUACACUAUAAUAUAAACAAAAUAUAAUUAUAAUAUAUGUACUACUACUCAGAAUUAUGAGUACCACCAUUCAUAUGCUAUAACUUAACUUUUUAUUUACAUAUUCUUGGCAAGAUACAAAACCAAAAUCAGUAGUAACAAAUUUUUAAUAUCUCACAAUCUAUUGGCCAUAUUUAUCAAUAUAUUACUACAUGCAAUAUUUAAAAGAUCCACAUCAAACUAAUAUUAUUCAUUACACUAUUACCAAAUAUUUUAAUAAGCCAUGAAUUAAUUGAAAAGUUAAACUUUUUAAUACUCAAUCAACCAAAUAUCAUAAUAAAAAACGCAGAGAUUAAACCACACAAGCAUGUGCUUAGCUACUUUUUCCAACUUCCUUAUGAACAAACACAUCAACAUGAUAGUCAACAAAAGCCACAUGAUGAAAUUGAAACAUAACCGACAUAAUCGAUAUACACCAUCAUAGAUACGCUACAAUUCCAUGAAAUUCAUUAGAUCAACGAGUAUAGAAAGAGAUAAGACAGGAAAAACCAACCAAAUGCGGCAAAUGACGGUGAUGGAAGAAUGCCGUGACGAGAGAGGCUUCACGGUGGAGGUAGAUGUAAUAUUCCAUCGGCGAUGGGCGUCAUGUGUUUGAUGAUGUUGAAUGGUGUAACUCGGGGUUGGUCGGUCGGAAAAAGGAUCGUGCGGUGGUUGAAGGUGGAUCACGGCGGAUGAUUCGUUGGCGAUGCUUGGGUUUGUAGAUCUGAAGUAGUAAAAGGGAGUGACGUUUUGGACGUUGCCGAAGAGGGUGUAUGAAGGAAACAGAUUGUGAUUCCGUGAUGAGGAGAGUUUUGUGGUGGUGAUGGUGUUUCCAACGGAAGAAUCGUUUGCCGGCGAAACUUAAAAAAGAAGAAGGAGAGGUGUGUUGUGCGGCAUUGGGAUUUCACGGUGAAACAGAGGUAAGUGGUGGUUAGAAAUGGAGGUCGGCACAGUGAGGUGUGGUGGAAGCGAAGAAGGCGGAAGGAGAAAAAUCCUCUGUGAGAGCAAUCCCCCCUUUUUAUUUUCCUUUUUCUUUUUUAUGCUGAGCGAGAGAUUGGACAGUAGUGUCCGUUGGUUUUCAUCACAGUGGACCCUCUUCCAAAUUGUUGAUGUUGGUUGGAGAUAUAGUGGUCUUUUUCUCAAGUGACUUUUUUUGGAAAGAAGAAAAAACUCCUUCU